AUGUGUUUAUUCUGUCUUCGCCGCCUUUUGCAGAGUCAGCUGCUGAAUACGGGUGAUGAUAUGAUGGCCUCGUCUUUACCAGAAUCAUCCAAAUUUGCUCGCUGGUUUUGCCAUGAAGAGGACUUGCCAUCAAUGAGCCAGCUCUCCAUGAUUGUCAAAAAGGAAAAUCCAGGUCCACAAAACAUAGCUCGUGGUCCAACUUUGUCUGAUGGUGCUAUUCAGAAUUUAUCUUCAAAACUAACUACCGAUAAAUUCGAUACUACAUCAAAGUUACCAUCAUUUCCGUCUCCCGAACAGUACAGCGAUGCUGGUAUCCCAGAGCCAGCUCCAGUUGUGAUGAAGUGUGAGGAUCUAGAGCAGGCGAUGCUGACACAGGUUGCUAGCAAUAGCAGUUCUACUCAGCAGACUAGAGAGGCAUCAGGUUGGUUUGGACGAGCCAACCGCCAUGCAGAAAAUAGCUGUAGACAAUCAUGCAUCGCAUCACCUUCCAUUAUUACAGUAUAG
rnacentral:rRNA from 1 species